rnacentral:rRNA from 1 species
AUUGAAUGCUGGCGGCAUGCUUUACACAUGCAAGUCGAACGGUAACAGGCCGCAAGGUGCUGACGAGUGGCGAACGGGUGAGUAAUGCAUCGGAACGUGCCCAGUCGUGGGGGAUAACGCAGCGAAAGCUGUGCUAAUACCGCAUACGAUCUGUGGAUGAAAGCGGGGGACCUUCGGGCCUCGCGCGAUUGGAGCGGCCGAUGUCAGAUUAGGUAGUUGGUGGGGUAAAGGCUCACCAAGCCGACGAUCUGUAGCUGGUCUGAGAGGACGACCAGCCACACUGGGACUGAGACACGGCCCAGACUCCUACGGGAGGCAGCAGUGGGGAAUUUUGGACAAUGGGCGCAAGCCUGAUCCAGCAAUGCCGCGUGCAGGAAGAAGGCCUUCGGGUUGUAAACUGCUUUUGUACGGAGCGAAAAGGCUCCCUCUAAUACAGGGGGCUCACGACGGUACCGUAAGAAUAAGCACCGGCUAACUACGUGCCAGCCGCCGCAGUAA